GACGAACGCUGGCGGCGUGCCUAAUACAUGCAAGUCGAACGAGAGCGACCGGUGCUUGCACUGGUCAAUCUAGUGGCGAACGGGUGAGUAACACGUGGGUAACCUGCCCAUCAGAGGGGGAUAACAUCCGGAAACGGAUGCUAAAACCGCAUAGGUCUUCGAACCGCAUGGUUUGAAGAGGAAAAGAGGCGCAAGCUUCUGCUGAUGGAUGGACCCGCGGUGCAUUAGCUAGUUGGUGAGGUAACGGCUCACCAAGGCCGUGAUGCAUAGCCGACCUGAGAGGGUGAUCGGCCACAUUGGGACUGAGACACGGCCCAAACUCCUACGGGAGGCAGCAGUAGGGAAUCUUCCGCAAUGGACGCAAGUCUGACGGAGCAACGCCGCGUGAGUGGAGAAGGUUUUCGGAUCGUAAAACUCUGUUGUUAGAGAAGAACAAGUGCUAGAGUAACUGUUAGCGCCUUGACGGUAUCUAACCAGAAAGCCACGGCUAACUACGUG
rnacentral:rRNA from 1 species